AGUCUGUAAAGCCAACCCCGUCGUGAGGCGGGUGCGUACGGAAAGCCACGGGCCUCACGGUUGAGGCAGCCGAGCCGCCAUG
rnacentral:ncRNA from 1 species